UUGGAGGGCAAGUCUGGUGCCAGCAGCCGCGGUAAUUCCAGCUCCAAUAGCGUAUAUUAAAGUUGUUGCAGUUAAAAAGCUCGUAGUUGAACUUCGGGGUUUACCCAUUGGUCAGGCUUAAUUGUCUGUACUGGUGAGAUGAAUCUCUACCUUCUGAGGAACUUUCGUGCCAUUUAUUUGGUGUGAUGGGAAAUCAGGACUGUUACUUUGAAAAAAUUAGAGUGUUUAAAGCAGGCUAACGUCUGAAUACAUUAGCAUGGAAUAAUAAAAUAGGACGGUGGUCCUGUUUUAUUGGUUUCUGAAUCACCGUAAUGAUUAAUAGGGAUAGUUGGGGGCAUUAGUAUUCAAUUGUCAGAGGUGAAAUUCUUGGAUUUAUUGAAGACUAACUUCUGCGAAAGCAUUUGCCAAGGAUGUUUUCAUUAAUCAAGAACGAAAGUUAGGGGAUCGAAGACGAUCAGAUACCGUCGUAGUCUUAACCAUAAACUAUGCCGACUAGGGAUCGGACGAUGUUAAAUUUUAUUGACUCGUUCGGCGCCUUACGGGAAAC
rnacentral:rRNA from 1 species